AUGAAACAUUGCGAACAAAGUUUGGGAGUAGAGAGGGAGGGCGGUCGUUGCAGACAGAGAGAGAUUGCAGAGAGGGAGAGUGCGUUUCUCCAUCUUCCCUUCUUUUUAAAAAUCUGGCCGUUGAGACUGUAAGUGGCUUACAGGGAAGUGACUUCUCACCCCCAUCGCCCUGCAGUUUUUGGGUAGAUUUGCCCUGUAAGUUACUUACAGGUGAAUUUUCUCCCCCAAACACCAACUGUAAGUGACUUCCUUGUAAGUCACUUUCCACUUACCCAACUUACAGGCAUCCAAACAGGCCCUUAGGUCUCUAAUCAGCGGCAAUGUGGAAGCUUAAGAUUGCCGAGGGUGGUGGCGACAACCCGUGGCUUCGGAGUCUGAACAAGCAUGUCGGAAGGCAGGUGUGGGAAUUCGAUCCUAAGGCCGGAUCUAAGGAAGAGCUGAUCGAGGUCGAGAAGGUUCGGGAAGGUUUCUCGAACCUUCGGUUCGAGAAGAAGCACAGCUCAGAUCUGCUCAUGCGAAUGCAGUUUGCAAAGGAGAAUCCAUGUGUUAUGGAUCUACCCCAAGUCAAGCUAGAAGACACUGAAGAUAUCACGGAAGAAGCAGUAACAACCACCUUAAGAAGGGCAAUCAAAUUUCAUUCUACUAUCCAGGCACAUGAUGGGCAUUGGCCUGGGGAUUAUGGGGGUCCAAUGUUUCUUUUGCCUGGCUUGGUCAUCAGUUUAUACGUUACAGGAGCACUGAAUACUGUUCUAUCGUCGGAACAUCGGCGGGAGAUGUGCCGUUAUCUGUUUAAUCAUCAGAACAAAGAUGGAGGUUGGGGUCUGCACAUUGAGGGCCCUAGCACCAUGUUUGGUACUGCCCUGACCUAUGUUACUCUGAGGUUGCUUGGUGAAGCAGCUGAAGGUGGAGAGGGGGCAAUGGAGAAAGGGCGAAAAUGGAUCCUGGACCGUGGUAGUGUCACUGCAAUAACAUCAUGGGGGAAAAUGUGGCUUUCGGUUCUUGGAGCAUUUGAAUGGUCUGGCAAUAAUCCAUUGCCUCCAGAGAUAUGGCUACUCCCUUAUGUUCUACCUAUUCAUCCAGGAAGGAUGUGGUGUCACUGCCGAAUGGUAUAUCUGCCCAUGUCGUACUUGUAUGGGAAGAGGUUUGUUGGUCCAAUAACACCAUUAAUUUUGUCAUUGAGAAAGGAGCUCUACAUGACCCCGUAUCAACAAGUAGAUUGGAAUCAAGCCCGUAAUUUGUGUGCAAAGGAAGACCUAUACUACCCUCAUCCACUGGUGCAGGAUGUCCUAUGGGCGUCUCUUCACAAGGUUGUUGAGCCUAUUCUAAUGCAUUGGCCUGGUGCCAAAUUGAGAGAGAAGGCUCUGUGCACCACAAUGCAACAUAUUCAUUACGAAGACGAGAACACUCGUUAUAUUUGCAUUGGGCCCGUAAACAAGGUCUUAAAUAUGCUUUGCUGCUGGGUCGAAGAUUCAAAUUCUGAGGCAUUCAAGUUGCACCUGCCAAGGAUUUUUGACUAUUUGUGGCUUGCAGAAGAUGGCAUGAAAAUGCAGGGUUAUAAUGGCAGUCAAUUAUGGGACACUGCUUUCACUGUUCAGGCAAUAAUCUCAACUAGCCUUCUUGAGGAAUUUGGUCCAACUCUUAAGAAGGCGCAUGAGUACAUAAAGAAUUCUCAGGUUUUGGAAGACUGCCCUGGUGAUCUUAAUUUCUGGUAUCGUCACAUUUCUAAAGGUGCAUGGCCUUUCUCAACUGGAGAUCAUGGAUGGCCCAUAUCAGAUUGCACUGCAGAAGGUUUGAAGGCUGCACUCAUGUUGUCGCAGAUUCCAUCAAAAACUGUUGGUGAACCAAUCAAUGCAAACAGAUUGUAUGAUGCAGUGAAUGUCAUUCUUUCACUACAGAAUAAAGAUGGUGGUUUUGCAACUUAUGAGCUGACAAGAUCCUAUGCUUGGAUGGAGCUAAUCAAUCCUGCUGAAACUUUUGGUGACAUUGUUAUUGAUUAUCCGUACGUGGAAUGUACUUCGGCAGCAAUCCAGGCAUUGGCAUCUUUUAAGAAAUUAUACCCGGGACAUCGGAAGGAAGAGAUAGAAACUUGUAUAAAGAAAGCAGUUAAUUUCAUUGAAAAGAUACAAGCGCCCGAUGGUUCAUGGUAUGGCUCCUGGGCAGUCUGCUUCACAUAUGCAGCAUGGUUUGGAGUGAAGGGGCUGGUGGCUGGUGGAAAAUCCUACACAAGCAGCUCUAGCAUCCGCAAAGCAUGUGAUUUUCUGUUAUCUAAACAGCUUCCUUCAGGUGGCUGGGGGGAGAGUUAUCUUUCAUGUCAGGAUAAGGAAUACACAAAUCUCGAAGGCGGUCGCUCCCAUGCAGUGAAUACGGGAUGGGCUAUGUUGGCUCUUAUUGAUGCAGAGCAGGAUUUCUUGUGCAAAACAAUGUAAGCUUGGGGGGUUCCAAUCAAGGCAUUAACAUACGAAUGCAGGAAAUCAAUGAGCCUCUGCCUGCUUGCUGUUUUUUGUAACUCAAUGAGCAUGUCAUCUGUUUACUGUUUUCUGAAUGGAUGGACAAGAGAGAUCCGAAGCCUUUGCAUCGUGCAGCAAGGGUAUUGAUUAACUUCCAAAUGGAGAAUGGAGAUUUUCCGCAGCAGGAGAUAAUGGGAGUC